CUCCAGCAUGACAGUUCCCUGGAUGAGAUGGACCCGCUGAGCCAGGAUAUUUAAUAUUUUAGAGGCUGAAAGUGCUGGAGAAGAGGGGGCAAAGCCUGAAUCCCCUCCCUGGCAGGAGGCAGCACUUGCACAAGCUCCAGAUGCUGGACUUGACCCGCAAGCGACGAGAGGCGGAGCUGAAGAGGAAUCUCCACAGGGAGGUGAAAAUCAAUAAGCAGAACAUCAAGGAAUUCAGCCCCAAGGAUGUCCCUGACACUCCCCAGAGAGGUGACAGCACCAGAAGCCCAGACCCCAUCCCUGCUGAGCACAAUCAGUGUUUUCCUGAAGACGACCCUGGAAAGACGUGGGGUGGAGGCCUCUGCAGGCAGCCUGGCAGGGCUGAACUCUCUCCAGACCAGAGGGGGAAGGUUGACCUGUGGCUCUGCAGGGAGCCACGGACCAGGGACCUGUUCUGGGACUCCUCCAGCACAGGGUCAGAGGAGUGGGAGAGGGAAGAGAAGAUUCUCCACAAACCCACGCUUGUGAGGACCAAGACAGAGAGAGUUUCCCUCUUUGAUGACUUCUAUGACAGGGAUUUCUAGUGGCAUGGCUGGGAGCGUGCCAAAGGAACAAGCCCCAGCUCUGGAGGGGCUGGAAUCCCCCAGAUGGAUGGGCUGAGGUUGGCUGUAAGUGGAAUUUCUGUGAAUAUGAACCAGUGGAAAGGACAUCUGGAAAUGAGGAGCUCACUGAUGUGGGAUGGAUUAAAUCCCUCUGGGUUGUGUGGCUGAAUCAAAAUAUCUGGGGAAGCAAGCCUUGGAUGGAGCAACAGUGAAACGGGGGUA
rnacentral:lncRNA from 1 species